ensembl:lncRNA
GCCAAACUCAGCUGCUGUUCAUUUGGUGCUGCUUUCCUUUAUGCUUUAGGGCCAUGCCUGAGGGAUAUCUGCGACGGCCCAGAUGGCAGUGGAUAUGACUCAUGUCAGUGGAUAUGUCUAUCUGCAGAAUCCAGAUGACCUGUGGAGAAAUGCUGCAGAAGAAGGGAAAUGGAUUGUUGCCUAACUGGAUUAAAGCAUCUCCUGCUUUAUGGACAGACUCUGAUAUGCAGUGAAACAUGGUCUGGAGGCAAUUUUGUUUCAUACCAAUGCAAAGCGCAACCUCAAUUGUUAAAAGGCACACACUUGUGCUGGACUUGGGAACAGUGGCUGUAGAGAUUAUUACCAGUCCAAUUACCAGCUCUGGUAGAAGCUACUGCCUGGGAUGAUCAAAUAUUAUCUUCAUUUGCUUUGGCGACCUAUGAUGUUACCAGCUGACCUUAAGAGAUUCUUCUGCUCGUCUGGUCUCUUAUACAGAAAUCAAAUUUUAUCUGCUUCCAGACUGAGACUGUUCAUGAAGCAGAAAAACUAUACCAAAGCAAAACCUGACUAAACAAAACAAGUAUCAACUUCAAAAACAAUGAUUUCUUGGAGCAGCUACAAUGCCUGGAAGAGGGUCUCCAUGUAGUUUGGCUACAGAAUGCACACAGCAGUAGAUACGCUUGACGUUAUCUGUAGGAGGAUAAAAGCCCACACAGCAGCUACUCUGUACUGGACAAAUUUGAAGCUAUUGGGAACUGUUUCAGUCCUUUCAAAAUGUUACCACAUGCACAUCAGAGGCUGCGGUACUUUCUGGCCUAAUUUAAUCACUGCUAUGUGGAAGAUAAUCUUUCAGACUAUCACACAGCGUAGGAUUUGGGUCUGGCACCCUUCAGUUUUGAACUUCAGUUGUCCAAGACAGCAUCUCUUACAGAAACUAAAUCCAAAUAUAAAGCUGAUCAUCACAAUUCAAAACCCAAAAAUGUGCAGAAAUGAAAAAAAUAAAGCAAGAAUGUCAUUGCUUAAUAUUAAACCGUCUGUUGUUCAAGAUUUUGACAGUGGGACAGAGACUUUUUCCUUUUCUGAAGAUAAUAUAUCAGGGACAGUACUCUUAAAUAGUUUAAUGAGGUAUGUAUCUUAUGAUUUUCCGCGAUUCUCUCAUCUUUUCCCACUAAACAGAAAUCUGCAGUUACAGCAAAUAAAGCAUUCAGUGAAGAAAAAUAAAGCCGUAUUAGCUAGCAAGUGUUGAAUAAUACGUGUUCAAAUCCAAGUUAGAAAUGUAUGUUGUCUUUUAAUGUGUUUAAAGCUUUUAACUUGUGGAGUGAUAUAUAAAAAAACAAUAAAUAAGACUGCUGUCGUGGAAUGAGUGUAAUCACAGCCUUCAAAUGUGAUAUAUUUUUUAUGUAGAAAGCUGAAGUGUGACUAGAUUCAGAUGCCUGUGUGAUGGAUUGUUUAGAAAUGAAGUAGAUGUCUCUUCCAAGUAAUAAGCUCCACUCAGCUUCUUUUUAAGAUUCUUUGUUAAAAUAAACACAGAGGUUGUCCUCUACUCACCGCCAUGGUAGUUAAUUAGCUAACAGUCAUUCAAAAUGUUGUAGUUGUCAAUACAAUGCUUCUUGUGGAUGAAAACAACCUAAAGAAGGUUUAUAUUCUCCAAAGCUUUUUUCCCACAAUGUCAG